GCUACAGCUAAUGUCCUUUACAAACUGAAUUGGCAUCAUUUGGAUACAAAAAAUAGAAAAAUUUUCCUUAUGAUGCUGACGCAAUGUCAGCGGAUUGCAGUGAUCUCCAUUGGACCGUUUGGGCCAAUGUCAAACAAUUCAGUUAUAUCUGUUAUCAAAGCUGCAUACUCUUACAUGAUGGUGAUGCAGUCAUACAAAUAGUUGAUUACAUUUAAGCUUAAGCAUCUAGUAAAAGUUGUUUUAGAAUAAGUAUGACCGCAAGCUUAACGGCAAUAUGCCAGAACAUAAAGCGCCCUAAUUUUUUUAUCGUAAUGCAAUAAAUGAUUGGAAGAUAU
rnacentral:lncRNA from 1 species